rnacentral:misc_RNA from 1 species
UGGUUCUGGCAUCGAUGAAGAACGCAGCGAAAUGCGAUAAGUAGUGUGAAUUGCAGAAUUCAGUGAAUCAUCGAAUCUUUGAACGCACAUUGCGCCCCUUGGCAUUCCAUGGGGCAUGCCUGUUCGAGCGUCAUUUGAACCCUCAAGCUUUGCUUGGUGUUGGGUGUUUGUCCCGCCAUUGCGCGUGGACUCGCCUUAAAGCAAUUGGCAGCCCGUGUUAUCCGGCUUUGAGCGCAGCACAGUGCGUAUUCGAGGUGGAUACACGGGCAUCCAGAAGCCCUUUUUUUACUCUUGACCUCGGAUCAGGUAGGGAUACCCGCUGA